GCAUAUCAUAAAGCGGAGGAAAAGAAACCAACAGGGAUUGCCCCAGUAACGGCGAGUGAAGCGGCAACAGCUCAAAUUUGAAAUCUGGCCCCUCCCCCGGGGGGGCCCGAGUUGUAAUUUGCAGAGGAUGCUUCUGGCGAGGUGCCUUCCGAGUUCCCUGGAACGGGACGCCGCAGAGGGUGAGAGCCCCGUCUGGUCGGACAACCGAGCCUCUGUGAAGCUCCUUCGACGAGUCGAGUAGUUUGGGAAUGCUGCUCUAAAUGGGAGGUAUAUGUCUUCUAAAGCUAAAUACCGGCCAGAGACCGAUAGCGCACAAGUAGAGUGAUCGAAAGAUGAAAAGCACUUUGAAAAGAGGGUUAAACAGUACGUGAAAUUGUUGAAAGGGAAGCGCUCAUGACCAGACCUGGUCCCGGCGAAUCACCCGGCGUUCUCGCCGGUGCACUUCGACGGGCUUCCAGGCCAGCAUCAGUCCGCGCCGGGGGACAAAGGCGGCGGGAACGUGGCUCCCCAGGGAGUGUUAUAGCCCGCCGCGCAAUGCCCCGGGGGCGGACUGAGGCCCGCGCGUCACCGCAAGGAUGCUGGCGUAAUGGUCAUCAGCGACCCGUCUUGAAACACGGACCAAGGAGUCGUCCUCGUAUGCGAGUGUUGGGGCGUCAAACCCCCCGCGCGUAAUGAAAGUGAACGGCAGGUGAGAGCCCUCGCGGGCGCAUCAUCGACCGAUCCUGAUGUUCUCGGAUGGAUUUGAGUAGGAGCAUACGGGGCCGGACCCGAAAGAAGGUGAACUAUGCCUGUGUAGGGUGAAGCCAGAGGAAACUCUGGUGGAGGCUCGCAGCGGUUCUGACGUGCAAAUCGAUCGUCAAACAUGGGCAUGGGGGCGAAAGACUAAUCGAACCUU
rnacentral:rRNA from 1 species